GUUUCGGUGUUGCAUGCACAGGAUAGAUGGGACACUGGGAAGGCAGUGCUUUGGCAUUGCUGGAGUGGACGUUGGGAUACCAUCCUUGCGACAUUGGAAUUCUAACCUGCGCCUCUGAAUCGAGGCGGGGGACAUUGUCAGGUGGGCAGUUUGACUGGGGCGGUCGCCUCCUAAAAAGUAGCGGAGGCGUUCAAAGGUUCGUUCGAUCUGGACGGAAACCAGAUGAUUGAGUGCAAACGCAUAAACGAGCCUGACUGCGAGACUGACGGGUCGAGCAGAGACGAAAGUCGGAGUUAGUGAUCCGGUGGUAUGUGAGUGGAAAUGCCAUCGCUCAACGGAUAAAAGUUACCCUGGGGAUAACAGGCUGAUCUCCCCCAAGAGUCCACAUCGACGGGGAGGUUUGGCACCUCGAUGUCGGCUCAUCGCAUCCUGGGGCUGAAUUCGGUCCCAAGGGUUUGGCUGUUCGCCAAUUAAAGCGGUACGCGAGCUGGGUUCAGAACGUCGUGAGACAGUUCGGUCCCUAUCUGUCGUGGGCGCAGGAUAUUUGAAAGGCGCUGUCCCUAGUACGAGAGGACCGGGAUGGACGAACCUCUGGUGCACCAGUUGUCACGCCAGUGGCACAGCUGGGCAGCUAUGUUCGGAUCGGAUAAACGCUGAAAGCAUCUAAGCGUGAAGCCGGCCUUAAGAUAAGAUAUCCCACUGAGUCAAUCAGGUAAGACCCCUUGAAGACUACAAGGUUGAUAGGCACACAGUGUAAGCGGAGUGAUCCGUUCAGCUAGCGUGUACUAAUAGGUCGAGGGCUUGACCC
rnacentral:rRNA from 1 species